UGCUUUUUCCAGCUGCCAGCUGUGGCAGAGUUCUCCGCCAGUGAGACCAUGGGGCACUGUGCAUGUGCGUCUCUCUGACUG
rnacentral:miRNA from 12 species